rnacentral:lncRNA from 1 species
UUGUUCUUUUUGGUUUCCUACUUACAUUUUAUCUACUCAUAUCAGAGAGUGGUCCAAAGCCUUUACUUUUCCACCUUACUGAUAACCGGGAAUGGUUAAUUAGGAAUGUAGUAGAAUCAAUUAUUUUUAGUUUUAUUUGUUAAAAGAUUAUAUUAUUUGUUGUGUUAAAAAUAAGAAACUACGAACCAAACUAACAUAUUUAGCCUAUAAAAAAUAAGUUAAAAAUAUUAAUAAUUCAGAAAGGGGAACGUUGGGAUCGCGAAGGUUCCCCAGAAGCUCAUUCUUUUCUUGAAACACGAGUAUCGUCCAUUUACAUGCUCAUCCAAAACAGUGAUGUAAUCGAGUUCUUACAGAAUCCUAAUUUUCUGUAAACAUUUAACAUUAUCAGACAAAAUAAAAUAAAAAGAAACUGAUCUCUCCACUCCCUACACAUUACCAAACAGAAGUGUGUACAAUUUGGGCCACCAUCUUUGCACUUUCCUGUGUCUUUAUCAUCACCAUCGUAAUUUACAAUUUUUUUCAGCAACCAAAACACACACCAAUAAACUCUUCUCAAUAUGUGUAUCUCAUGGUGGUAUAACAUCAAAAUGAUUUUCCUGCAAAAGAUGAUUCUCAUACUCAUGACAAUUAAAACAAGUCUGAAUUAAUUAUCUAUAGUACAUCAAAAUAAUAUUCAGUACUAAUUAAUUUAACUUCAUAAACAAGAAGUAAAAAGAAAAACAAAAACAAGAACAUUUGCUGCCGUGAUCAGGGCCAUCGACUUCCCGAUGCUUGUUGCCGAUGACUGAUUGUCUGUUUGAUGAGGAGGUUUCCGGUAGUAGUAUGGGAAAUAUGGCAAGAUAGGGUCCGGAGGUGGAGGGCCAUAAAGAUUAUUACCAUUAGGUGGUGCAGGGUAGUUUGGUAAAUUCUCCGAUGGUGGAGAGUAAUACCCUGUAGGAGGAGGGUACGAGGAGACUGAGCCUGAGCCUGAGCUGGAAGGUGGUGUCAAAGUUGUAGCCGGGGGCGAUGGGUUGCCGGUGGUGGGGGUACCCGAGCCGGGGCCGGUAGGCGGCGGGUAACAUGGAUACGGGCAGGGCUGAUCUUGCAUGGUUAAGACGAGAAAAUUGACAAGUAUGGAGUAGAAGAAAAGGGUUGGGAAAUUUUGUGUCAAUUUUCUAGCCAUGGUUGGUGAGUGUGAAAGUGGAAAGGAGAAAAUUUUUGUAUGUUAAGUGGAGAGAAAAGGAGAAGAGGUUUGGUGAAUGCGGUGUGUUGUAAGGUGAAGGGUGAGAUGUUAUGAGUGAUGAGUGCUGACUUAUUAGAGGAUUUUAGGGUGCUUGUCAUGACUCAAAAAUAAUUAUGGCCAUGGAAGAUAAAGAUUGAAAAGCAAGUUUUAGCUAACCUUUUAUAAUCGUCCUCUGUGGGUUUUUGAUUCAAAGUGUCACACAUUUGGACCAUAUAUGCUUUUUGGGACCAAGAGAUUUUAAUUUGAGUUCAAAUAUUUUGUGCUAUUGACAGAAUAAUAACGAUUCUAUAUAAGGUUAUGUUUAAAUAUAUAGUUUCAAUUGUGUUUCAUUGUUGACUUAAACUCAUUUUAAAUUCUCAGAAGAUCAAUUAUUAUAUUGGGUUCAUUUUAGUCUUCAAAAUUGUUGGCAGUUGAGUUUAUUUAAUUGAUCGUUGAACAUUUACAAGUAUAAUUAAUAUCAACUCUACCAUUUUUAUAUUAUGUAUAUGUUAAUUAAUUAAACCUUUGGGUAUAACUAAUCAAAAUUUGUAUUUUUUUUUAAAGGGUAAGUUAAUUACAUCAUUUUUAAUUUGGUGAAAAAUAAAUCAGUGUGGCAUUGUAUGAAAUAUAAGUGUGCAACCCAAGAGGGGAUGAAUUGGUAUUUUAAAAAUUAUCCUAACAAAUCCACACAACAAACAAUCUAACUUCUUAAUAAAAUUGAAAGCAAUAAGUUCAAUUAAAGCACAAUAACAAAUGAGUAAGGGAGAAGAGAAACAAACAUACGAAUUUUUACGUGGUUCGGCAAUCCCCGCCUACGUCCACGCCUCCAAGCGAUCCAAGCUUGGGGAUUUAACUAUCCGAGCCUUUCCAAGGCUUCAACCGUUUACAAUUGACUUCAAUGUGUCAAUGAACCUUUACAACAAAGAGAUUAUCUCUCAAUCUAUUCACUCAAGUGUCUCACACACUCAAACACUUACAAUUAAGAUAACAAAAUGAAAGUUACAACAAAACUCACUCAAAGAGUAGAUAUUCAAAAAUCAAGAUCAAGAGAUGAUUCAAUGUGUUUUGUGAUUUGCAAAUUGAAAGCUCAAGAUAUCUCGUGUGCUUUUUGUUUAUGCUUGCUGGAGAGCUUGAAAAUGAAUUGAAUUUGAGUUUAUAUAGUUUGAGCUCAAAAACUAGCCGUUAUGUACAUUUUGGUCAUAACCGGCUUACCAUUUAUGGACAUCUGGUUAGCCGCUUAAUGUUACCGUUACAGCCACAAUUUUGAAUUUCUGAACAUCUGGUAUGCCGCUUGUGAAAUCCGGUUAGCCGUUUAAGUUCCAGAAACAUUCUGCCCGAAUCCGGUCUACCGUUUGUCAGGAUCCGGAUAGCCGCUUGCUACAGUAACUGCUACAGUGAACUAUGUUUUAAAAUUAUAAUUUGAUCCCAAAAUUUUGUAAAACUGUGUUAUGACCCAAAACGUUAUAAAACUUUUCAAAUAGGUCCAAUUUCAGAAUUUGUAAAUAUUACUUUAUUAAUCCUAAAACGUUUUUUAAAUUAAAAUAUGACCCAAAAUAUGUGAAAUUAUAGAAUGACCUAAAAUAUUUAAAGAUUUUCAAAUAGGUCCAAAUCUGAAAUUCAAAACAAUAUCAAAAGUUUUAAAAUACUUUCAUUUUAGUCCAAAACACUUUGAUUCCAUAACAUUAUUUUCUUAUUAUAAAAACACAAUUCAUAAAUUUUUGUUUAAUCAAUACAUGUGGUUUGUUAUCAUCAAAAUCAAUAUCUAUAGCCAUAUAGGCUAACAUUGUAUACUUAACUAAUCAACAACAAAAACAACAAUAAUAAUUAAUAUGGUGAGUUGUGAGGGAUUCUUAAUUAAUUGCCAAGCUAGCAACAAUGAACUUUGAAUGAUAAUCCCUUGAUUCCUACGGCACUGGCCUAUGAUUGUGAGCUUGUUUUUUUUUUUUUUUUUUUUGGCUUGAGCAAUAUACAUUUGCUGUCUCUUCUAAAAGCAACAACCCCGAAUCCUGAUGACCUUCAAUAAAAUGAUUACAUGCAUAUAGUUUUCAUAAACAACUCCUUAAUAAUCAAAUAAAAUUUUAAUACAUUUAAUUAAUUAAACUUAAAAAUAAGUAGAUUUAGCUGUCUUCGGUCUUGUACGCCCAAAAAAUCUGGUUUGUGUAUGCACAUGCUUAGUUUUGAAGAUUUUUUUCUUGAAAUAAUAAAAGUUGAUGAUGGCACAUUUUGAGCUCCAUGCACGGUGCGAAGAGAAGUCCAUGUUCCCAGAAACAAGGCUUGCAAGCAAGCACCAAGUUUUGCAUCACGUGUUGUGUGGCGAAAUUACAAGACCUACAAAUUAUGAACAUUACAACACUAAUCAAAAUCAGUAUUAUAGAUAAGAUUAUGGUCCGUUUGAGAUUGAGAUUAAAUAGUUAUAACUUAAAAAUUACAAUAGUAAAGUGUUUGGUAAAUACUAACUAUUGUAAUUUAAAAGGUAUGAUGAUAUGAUUUUUCGUUUGUAUGAUGAAUAAUAUAUUAUAUAUUUAAUAAUUUAUAAAAAAGUAUUAUUUAAAAUUUAUAUUUACUAUAUACUAUUUAUUUUUGUUUUAUAAUUACAAUUUUUUCUACAAUAAAUGUAGUUUAAAAAUUAUAGCACCUCAAUUUUAAACCAGACUUUAAUUAUUGUGUAAGUAUACCACUAAAUUCAACAUUGGAACUAACAAAAAAAUAAGUAAAAUUUUUAUUUUCUUAAAGAAAAUUAUUGGGAAGUGAAGUUGUUACCUUCUCAAAUCUUGUAGUAAUGCUAGAACCUAUCAUGCACGCACUCCUAAGAAUUUCAUUGGAUAAAAUGGUUGUUAUGUCUUUAACCACUAGUAAAUUGUAAUAUUGAAGUUAAAAUUUAUUAGAAUUUUGUUGAAGUGGAUGAUUAGACAAACAAAUUUAACAACAAAUUAACUAUUACGCCCAAUCACACAAUCAAUUUUGAUUCAGAGGGGGGCGAUCAUGAUCAAUCAAAUUGUUGAAAGAGACGUGUGGGCAAGAGGAUAUAAAGGUCCAGCGUUGAUUUUGAUGAUCUUUUGGUGCAUUCGCUGACUUCGGAAGCUUGUCUGCUUCUUCAAUCCUCGUUUAUUGAUUCCACACGCAAUGUCUUGGAAAUUUACCACAGAUCCCACUAACAGCUGGAAAGUGAGAAGAAGUUGAGUGAUUUUGACGUGUUCGUUCUAAAAUCAAUUUUGAUUCAUGAUACAUAAUAUAUCAACACCUCAUCGGUUAACAUAGGUGCAUUUAAAUUUACCCUUAAUCAUAUGCAAUAAAAUCACUGGAUUGCCACUGGGAUUUUGGCCCGAUGGUUGCGGAACUUGGGCCACGGGUUCAAAUCAAAACCUUUGUGCCGGAAUUCAAAAUUUUCGUUAGAUACAGAUAGGGAUAGCAAUGCGAUGGAUAUGAGUUAAAUUUAUAUUAUUUGAAAUUUAUUAUAGGUCUAUGAUUUUUUAUUUUAUAUACAAGUGCAAAUUAAAAAUAAAGAUACAAACCUACUUCAAAUCCACGAUGAAUUUAUCAAUUUUAAUUUUUUAGCAAGUUAAUUUUAAAAUUUUUAUAGAUUUUAAGAGAAUAUUAAUAAAUUUAGCUUUAUUAGACUCUAAAACUCGACAAGAAAAAUAACAAAGCAAACAAUAUUGAGAAAAAAAAAGUAUUGCUAACUUGCUAUCAACUAAAACACAUAAUUCAUCUUAACUUUGAAUUUCAUAUAAAACUAAUAAAUAUUGUAUUAGUUUAAUGUGAUUGACAUUGAUUUUAGUAAGCUAGGUAUAAGUUUAAUGUGGUUUUAAAAGUAGUAAAUCACUGAUAGUUUAAUACUUUUAAAAAUUAAAUUAAAUUAAAUUAGAAGACCUCAUUUUGGAUGUGGGUAGUAUGUGGAUCUACAUUUUAAGUUACAUUCGUACCUACUUGAAAUUUUGAUUAUAAAUAUUGCAUAUUAAAAAAAAUUAAAAUUUUAUAAUUCAGAUGGGGGCAAAAAAUGGGCUGCUUGUGUUUAAUAUUGACCUACGAGUACAGCCUCACUCAAUUUAAUUACUUGUAAGAUAGUUUUAAGUACUAUUAUUUUUUUGGUCCUGGUCUAGAUAAGAUCUGAACUAGGAACUACAAAACGUGAAAGUGGGUGAGGGAAUUUUCCUAAAUUUCAGCGUGUCGGUGGUGAGUUGUUCAUAGAUUGUUGAUUUCCCUGUUGUCAAUGAGCACUUAUUUUGAUGUUUGGGAGCAGUAGUUAUAGCUAAACAACCAUGAUCCCAAAACCCAAUUAAACUUGUACACUUUUUUUCUGUUUUGUGUUUGAUGAACCAUUUGAUCGAGUAAAUUAUUCAAUUAGCCAAGAAUUAGUAUAAAAUCAAAGCACUUUAUUUAACCAACAUCUAAUUGUAUUGAUGUUGCAAUUUUCAUCGAGUAAAAACCCAGAAAGAAAGACAAUACAAUUAUGUAAUAAUUUUACUUUUUUUUUUUCCUUUCUUUUAGGCUUUUAGCCUUCCUUUUUACACCCAAAAGAAUAAACCCUAUGUUCAUAUGUAUGUAAAAAGUGUAAAGCAAAAUAGCAUAUAUAGAUUGGUCACACUUCAAUUAUUCAGCACCUUCCUUGAAGUAUCUUCAAACUUUAUAUCAACUUUUAAUCCAUUAUAAACUUUGUAUACCCUCUCUUGGCACGCAAUUUUUUCUUGGAUAUAAUUUAUAAUUCGUUUGCCUUUUUUUUUUUUUUUUUUUUCUCACAACAGUACAGGCUGUUGCGCUCUAUUAUAGUUGUCAAGCAGACAUUGGCAACGACACAAGAAAAAGAUGGAUGCUACUUUUUCUUAGUGUCAUUUUCUACAAUUAAACAGCCUAGAGUUCUCUUAUUAAUCAUUUCAUUUGCAAAAUUUUCUUACGUGUUUCUCAAUUUUCUUGACUAAAACACGUGAGUUUUGAUCUGCUAUUGAAUAAUUGUGAAGCCUGUAUGGCAUCGUGUGCUGAAAAUCUAAUCGCUAAAAUUUUUUAUGCAAUGGUCAUGAAGUUGAAGAUAACAUUUCAUGUUCUUUUAAAAUUUCUAAUUAAGCUUAGGUGUGCAAGAUAAAGCGAUGUUGACGCGACAGAUGAAAUUUUGUUACAAUUAGAGAGCAUCAAUUGAGGAUUGAUGUUUCGACACCUGCCCAAAAGUUACAAAUGGGUUCUUUGUAAUUAUAAUAAAUUAAAUUGCCGAGUGCUAUUAAUGUUUGAUUAUAUAGUUGUCAAUCUUUUGGGUUUGAAUUGACAAAUAAUAAGCUGCCAUACUAGACACAAUGACUAAGCACUUCAAGCAUUCGAUUUAUUUUCCAAAAAGUUAUGUUUGCUUGGUGGUGGCAUUAAGUUUCUAGCAUGUUAUGAUGAAUGAAUUAAUUAAUUUGCAACUAUAUAUUCACUUACAUCUAUUACGAUAAAUGUUCAUUUAAUUUUUAUAUUUUAAUUUAAAUAUUUAUUCAAUUUUUAUAUUUUAAAAAAUACCUUAAAAUAUAUCUAUUGUUAAAAAUAAUAUAUUUUUACUUUUAUUUUUUCUUUCUUUUUACAAUAAUACCUUGUAACAAUAUUUUUGUGCAUGAUAACGAAAAGAAAAUUUAUCAAAAUAACCUUAAAAGUAACAUAAAAAUUUACCUAAAAUUUUAUAUAGUCAUUUUACUUUAGGAUUAAUUUGGUAAAUUGAUUUUUUUAUAAAAUAUUUUUUAGUAAGAUUGUUGCAAUGAUAAUAAACACUGUUUUAAGUUGACUGAUAUUAAUUUAUUUAUAAAUAAUUAUUAGCAUAAUUGUUGCAGAGAUACAAAAUAUAUUAGUUCUUUCAUACUGAUAUUUAUUAGUUAAUUCGCUAAAAAUAACUUUUUUGACGAUAAAUCAAUUAAUGUCAAGGAUAAAUUAACUUAUGCCAACAAUAUUGUUGUAAGGAUAUUAUUGUAAAACUAAAGAAAAAGUAAGAACAAAAAUGCAAUGUAUUUAACUAUAAGGACAUUUUGAGAUAUUUUUUAAAAUAUAAGAAUUAAGUAUACUCUUAAGUUAAAAUAUAAGAACUAAACAAGUAUUUGUUAAAAUAUAGGAACUAAACAAGUAUUUAUCAUAUCUCUUAAUUAAUAAUCAAAUCUAUGUAAAUGAAAAUUGUUUUAUUAAAGAAAAGCCUUUAAGAAAAGGAUAGGCCAAACAUUAAUUAUUUCAUAAACCUUGAUCAAACUACAGUAAAUGCUUUUUUUUUUAACAUCAGUCUGAGUAAAAUAAUUUAACGAAUAUGAGUGUGCAAGAUACUUUAACAAUUGAUAUCGUGUAUCAUCCAUACGUCUUUUAAGAGCAUCUACAAAAGUCUCUUCAAAUAAGAUUUUAUUAUUUAUUUGAAGAAUCAUAUUAGCAUUUAAGACUCCAAAAGACAUUUCAAUUAAGAUUUUUCAAAUAAGAAAUGAUUAUUUCUCUUCAAUUUUGUAGAGUUGCUUUCUCCAUCUUCAAUAUAUAUUUUAUUACUUUUUAUUAGAAAGAGAGGGAGAGUGUUUUAGUUAUCAUUUAUUUUUUUUUGAAAAAAUAUUUAUUUAAUUAAAAUAAUAUUAAUUUAUUUUUAUUUGAAAAGUCUUUUGAAGAAUAACAUAUUUUUUUAUUUUUUUUAUCACAUAAAUUGAUAAAUAGAUAUUUAAAAAAUAAAAUUAAUAGAAUAUUUUAGAGAUGGAUCCCUCUAAGUUACAUGCAUGUACCUUACAUCCCUCUCACAUGAAUAGUAUCCAUACACUAUUCAUGUGAGAGGGAUGUAAGGUACAUGCAUGUAACUUAGCAUUACCCUUUAGAGAUACUCCAGUAUAAAAUUAUCUUUAUUAAAACCAAAUUUAAACGAGCAAGUUUGACUGAUCCAAUGUAAAUAUGAUCGAUAUUUUUCUUGGCAGGGUAACUUGUCAGGUUGUCUAGAGAAGUGAUUAAAAACAUGUAAUAAUUAAAGGACAAGAAAAUGAAUGAAUACAACAAAUGAGAAACAGGCAGAUGCAGUUUCGCCUAACCUUGCCCAAUCCCCAUUAGCCAUUACCAAACAAAACAUAACUCUUCAAGUGUCCAAAUGGCAAAUGGGCAUGUUUCACAUGUGGGACUGCGUACAAUCGGGACCCAUUAUUUGGCGAAACCGAAGUUGAUCACAUCCACUGACACAUGUAAUGAUCAGAUUAUCAUGGUAACAAGUAACAACUCUGACAUCACAAUCGGAUUUGUUAGAAUCUUCCCCUUGCUUCAAAGGACGACUUUACGUCAACAGUUUUUUUCUUUUUUAAAAGAAAAUAUAAAUCAUAUAUACUGAGUAGACUCUGUGUAUAAAACAUAUUCUUAUAAAUAUACUGAGUAGACUCUGUGUGUAUCUAUGUAUAAUCAUUUUCUAGUGAAGGUAUCGAUAUAAAAAAAAAAAGUUUCUGAUUAUCAUUGUAAAUAUAAAUAUUAAAAAGAACACUUUUUAGAUGGAAAAAAAUUUAUUUUUGGUGAUGCCUUUAUUUAUAUUGAUAAUAUUUUCUAGUGUAAUAAUUGUCCACAUCUAAUGACAAUUCAGAUUACCAAUUAUACUCUAAAUAGAAACAAAGGAAUAAAAUAUGAUAUUGAUUGAUUAAAAAAUUGGAGCCAUUCUCUUCAACAUGCGUGGUUAGACUCGUCCAACCAAAUGACACCAUAAUUCGAUGGAUUCAAAUGCUUCAUGACGCCCUUCGUUUGAGUGUGAGGGUAGGACCCAUCAAUUGUUCACCCUUGAUUCCAUAAGUGCGUGCCACGUGGUAAAAGAGAAAGCGUUACAUGACAGAUCACCACCAAACGGUUGAUCCCAUUUGAAAAAAAAAAAAAAUCAAUUGUGACAUUUGGCACUGAAAACCAAGGUUACAUAUGGUUGAUGAUCCAUCACAAACAUUGCCAUCAAUACAAUAUUAAAUUAUUAUGCAAGAAAAUGGAUUAUUCAUUCAAUUUUGUUCACAUCUAUUACCCAAUCUUUUAAUUAUGGUAUUAAUGAAAAGAAAAUAAACAUAAAUAAAUCAAAAUGUGUACAGGGAUGAACACAAAAUUAAUAGACAAAAAUUCGAUCGAUUAUUGAUGUGAGUUAUUGUUAUUGAAAAUACAGAACAAUUGAUUCCCAAAAAAAAAAAAAUAAUAACAAUAAUAAGACCAUGAUUCAUGAGAAGCAAAUUUAUUGAACAAUUAAUUAGUUAACAACGUACUUACAAUUUGCUUCUGUAAAAAGUUGAGCUUUCCAAUUAAGAAUACUCAUUACAUGCAGAAGGAGAUCUCUCGGCUGAUGGAGUAUCGAUAUCAGAUUCAGAUUAUGACUAUUUCCAAAGAGCCAAGAGGCCUAAAAUUCCUGAAGCAACCAAAAGUGGCAAACUUGAAGGAAUUUUUUUGCUAGCACCGUUGAAAUCACUGUCGACAGGGUACAAGUUCCCCGGGGGACCGGUGAUGUAGAUAAACGAUGGUGGCGGUGGCGGCGGGCAGUAUUGCGAUGGCGGCUUUUUCGGAGACGGUGGUGCUGGUGGCGGCAGAGCUGGUGGAGGUGGUGGGUAUGGCGGCGGCAGCGACGGCGAUGGCGGUGGAGGACUUUGAGUGCAUGAUGGGGUGCACUUUAUGCCUUGAUCGCCUGUGGACUCAUCUAGCUUUCUUGAUUCCAAGCCGUUGACCGGAUGAUAAACAAUAGCAGCAAGAAAACUGAAUAUUGUAAGCACUUUUAGAGGGGUGAAAAGGCACUUUUGAAUCGACAUAUUGUGGUGUUUUUGCCGGAGUUUUGAUUGUUAAGAUGUGAAUGUGGUUGCGUCUUGCUAUGCGGGCUUUGGUUUGUUUUGUGAGUUGGGAGAGUGAAUUUGAAGGAAAAGUAAUGCGUGUGUUAAAAGCAAUUCAAUUUGCUUCGUUAUUAAGUGCAUGGGGGAGCGGGGGACUGAAAAAGAGCUUUUGGGUAGAAGUGAUUUUGGGUAGUAAGAGUUUAUAGAAGGCAAAGUAGACUAAAAGACUCGUGUUUUUAGGGACUUCUUUGCUAGGGUAGCCCUUCCCUGGCCCUGCCUUGUUCGAGAAGGGAAUCACGAUUCAUCUAAUUGGUCCAAAUUUUUGGACCCCACCAUGCACCCUCAACACUCUUUGAUUACACAAUUAAUUGUUUCUUCUAGUCGCCAUGUGUAUUUUUAUAGAAAAAUUCGGCCACUUUCAGUGCCGUGACGAUUUAAUUAGAUCAAAUAAUCAUGUUGUUUUCUUAUCGUGGAGUUUUGAUUGAUAUAUAUAUAUAUAGCCAAAGUUGAUUGUGUUGCAUGUGAUUGUUUUCGAUUUUUGCUUCCAUUAUAGAGAAUAUACAAUUAUUGUUUUCCCUUUUUAUAUCUUAGAAGGUAAAUUAUGGUAUUUGAAUCUUGAAGAAAGCUACGUAUCCAUAUUGGAAUCUACCUACCUUGCAAUGACAAUUGUUGAAGUUAUACCUUUCGUAUAAAUAGAGAAUUUCGAACAGUCUAAAAACGAAAAAUCAGCUGCUCUCUACGUGAAAUGUUAGGAACUUUGUAUGUAAUUAUUGAACCAAAAACCGUGGCAAAAUAACUGAAUGCACUUAAAUGAACAUGGGAAUUCCGAUUGUAGAAAACUUUUGAAUGGGAUGGUUAUUUAUAAAAUGGGUUAGGUUAUUUCAACUAUUUUUUUUAACACAAAUUUAAAUGUAUAUGAUAAUAAGAUAUAAUUGAAUCAGUAUGUAAUGAAAUAACACACAUUUCACAAUAUAGUGCUCAAAAUUCAAUCUAGGGAUGACAAUUUUUUCCGAUAGGAUGUGAUCCUGCAGGAUGUCAUCCCAUUUGGGACGGGAUUGUGGCAUAUUUUUAUCCCAUAAAAAAAUUUAGGGACGGGAGUGUAAUAUUUUUUUAUCUCAUUUGCAUAUACGGGACGAGAGUGAGAUUGGUAAAUUCCAUCACAUCCCAUCUCAUUGCCAAUAAGAAUGAGAAUUUUUCCAAUUGGUAGGAUCUCAUCUCUUUUGGGACAGGAUUCCGCAAAAUCCCAUCUCUUUUAUGACGGGAAUGGGACACAUUUUUGUCCCAAAAAAAAUAUAGGGAUGGGAGUGGGAUAUUUUUCCAUCCCACUUGCAUACACGGGACGGGAUUGGGAUUGGUAAAUCACAUCCCAUCCCGUCCCAUUGCCAACCCUAAUUCAAUCUGAUUCAUAUAAGAUGAUAUAUUAAAUUGAAAUUGACCAAUCGAUCAAUCCAUAAAUUGUAUUGGGCAACUUGUUCAUCCUUCAUACGAAAUAAACCAUCUGAAUUCGCUUGGUUUUGUACCCAAGUAUGCCAUGACCACAUGCUGAUUGACAUUUAUCAAAAUGUAGAGAUUUCACAGCAACAAGGAGGACACAUGAUGUUAGUUUUUUUUAUAUAAAAAAAAAAUUAUAAUGUAUUAGUGGCAUCGAUCACUUUGUUAAUUAAUAUAAUACUUGAUUUCCUAUUUCAACAGUUUAGACUCGAAGAUAUUUGUGGAGAGAAAAUAUACCUCCGUCAAACAGUUCCAGGGUUGCGAAAUCUUGAACUCACUAGAUAUGUAAACUCUAAUACUCAAUUUACAGUAUAUCAUUCAAACGAAUUCAGGGCCUUCAAUUACGGUUAUAAUUGGGUUCCUUUAUACCGGCAGUUUCUAGAGAACGUUUAAUUUCAAAUGUUAUAAAUAUCUUUCAGAAAAUUUCUACCAAAUUCUAAGCAAUUGAAUAUUGCCAGAGACUAUAAAGUGCAUCAAAAUGCCAAAUCCGUGAAUCUGAAGUUACAAUGUGGUCAUGACUUUGAAAUCGUCACCAAUCAAUUUGGGACACAAAUUCAAGUUCUUUGACUGUGGACUUUGGACUAUAGUUGCUUAGAUGGUUAUCACUUGGACUCGCAACUAUUUAGAGGGCUUUGAUAAGGAUGACCUGGAAUUCGAUUUCACAUUGGAUAAGUAUUAAUUGACACGUGGGACAUGAAGUUUAAGGAUUUUGACGUUAACCAAGAUAUAAUAAGGAAACAAGGAAAAAAAUAAAAUUAUACCAAAAGGGAAUAGUAAUAGUUGUUGAAGAUUUAAAAAAGAAAAAAGAAAAAGUUGGGUCAACUUGGAAAGUUUACUUUUAACUAAUUUGCACCAUACAUCAAUUAGUUGGGCACUUAUUGCUGAAGAAAUAGAAAAGAGGGAUUUUUUUUUUUUUGAACAAAAGAGGGUCAAAAAGUUAAGUUUACGAAAUUCAAUAACAUCUAACAAUCGGGGCACCGUCCCAUUUUCUUGAAGCAUCUUCCGCCCAUUUUCUUAAUUUUCAUCAUAAUCAUCACAACCUUAGAUAUAAAUUAAUCCCCUGCUUUACUUUUGGAAACUUCGUACUUUAAAAUAUUGUUGACGUUUUAUGUUCCUGAAUCCAAUUCACUUGAUAUCAAUGAUUAAAGUGAUAAAUUUUUAUAUAUUGAGCAAUAUCAGCAGACACAUGGUAAUGUAAUUGUAGUAGUUUACCUAACUGAUAAGAUCUCAAUUAUAAUAGUACAUGGCAAGUAGUUGUAAUAAAGCAAUCCCUACGUGCCAAUGAUUGAAUCAACACUGUUUCAAGAAUGAUUAUAUAUUAAUUGGGUCCGCCUAAGUUACUUUGAAUGUAACUUACAGUUUGGCUGUAAGAUUUUGUUCAGCCUCCUGUACUCUAUGUUAUUUAUAAAUUUUUUAUGAAUAUUGUAAAAUGUUUUGGAUUGUAAAAUUUCGUGUAACUCCUGACACUCAAUUUUAUUUUAUUGAAAUCCUAGAGUACGAAUUUGCCCCCCUAUAAUUUUAAAUUCCCAAAAUAACCUCUAUUUAAUUAAAAAAUAUAAUAAUUAUUAAAUGAAUUAUAAUAAUUAUUAUUAUUUUAUUAUAAUCAUAAAUAUAAUUAUAUUUUUUAAAUAGAUGAUUAUAUUUUUUUAACAAUAUGAAGAGAAGAUUGAUGGAGAACUUUAAACAAUUUGACGUAUUCACAUAUUUAUAUGUAUAUGCGAGUUAAACAUUUAUUUAUUUAUUACAUUCUUUUUGUGAAUUGUAAAUCAUAAGGAAACAACUUUGAGGGAACAAUUAGAGUCACAAGUCCCUACCAUUUCUUUUAUGUAAUAGAAUUUAUGGAGCUAAUUAACGGUUGCAAAAAAAGCCCAUGAUGCUAAGAGUUUCAAUGGGUGUAUUUAUAGUAACUCCCCCAAUGACUUGCUUUUUAAUUGAUAUGCAACAGUACCAACAUUUUUGUGAAUGAAACUCACACCAAUUUCCAUUGCCACUUUUGGUGUUGUCUAAACAUUUUGGCAUGGCACCAUUAAUAGAACAUCCAAGCAAAAAAAGUACGAAAAAUUUUGUGAUCAAGAGAAAAUUAAUUGCAAUUAAUGGAAGUCAUUGGAGAAAGUGGUGCACUAUUGGAGAACUUUAAACAAAUUAAUCGCAUAAUGUGAAUAUGUAAAAUCAUCAAUUUUUAAAUAGAUGAUUAUAUUUUAAAAAAAAUAUAAUCAUCUAUUUUAAAAAAUAUAAUUAUAUUUAUGAUUAUAAUAAAAUAAUAAUAAUUAUAAUUCAUUUAAUAAUAAUUAUAAUUUUUAGUUAAAUAGAGGUUAUUUUGGAAAUUUACAAGUAUAGGGGGCGAAUUCAUACUUUAAGGUUUCAAUAAAAUAAAAUUGAGUGUAAGGAGUUAAACGUAAUUUUGUAAUUAAAAUUUUUUUAUAAUAUUUAUGAAUAAAUUAUAAAUAACAUAGAGUAUAGGGGGCUGGACAAAAGUUUAGAGCCAAGCCGUAAGUUACGUUAGGCGGACUCAUAUUAUAAUAUAUAAAACCGGUGGCAUUCAACAAUGAGCAUUUCUUGGGCCUUAUUUGGCAACUCGACUUUUGAAAAAGCACAAUAGGAUGCUAUUAUUAUCAUUGUGGGAAAAAUCGUGAAAAAGGCUUGGCCGGAUGGGCUCGAGCACUACAAACAUGAGCCCAGCAGACAGGGCGCCCUUGGGCGAGGUUCGGCCUGCUUGAUCCUCUAUCCCAACGUUUUGAAAGGCUGAAUCAAUCUUGUUUAAAUUAGGGUCAGCAAAUUAAAGGCUUGGACCAGACAUUUCAAGUCCAGAUCCAAGCCCAUUAGAUAAGAUAUGUAAGAGAUAGAUCUAGACCGAACUUAAACUUUUAGUUAUUUUUUUUAAUUUUUUUAAAAAUUAUUAUAAACUUAAAAUGAAUUAAUAAUAAUCAAAUUGUUAUAAUCAAUAAUGAAUUAAAAACAUAAAUAUUUUAAAAUAAAAUAAACAAACAUUAAAUAUUUAAUUUUUUAGUAAUAUAUUCUCUAAUUUAAGCACUCUUAACUAAUAAAUGUUCAAUAAAAAAAUUAGUAUUAUAACUUUAAAUUUUUUUAAUUUAUUAUUGAUAAAUACAUUAAAAAUUUGGGUUUAACUUUUUUACCUUUCCAUUAUUUUAAAAAUUUUAAUUUAUUAUUCUAAUUUAUAAAUUUAUUUUAAAAAAAAAAUAAAAGACUCAGACCUAACCUAGGCUUUUUUUUUCCUAAACUCUAGUGCAGAAAAUGAGGAGUGAAUCACAAGGCUUCUGUUUCCGUUCUUGGUUUGGGGAGCUUUCGGUCUCAUGUGCGAAAUCCGAACCAAAACCCAUAGGAAUCGGCCAGACCCGUACAGACUUAACCGGUGCGGGCUUUUUGUUUAAAUUCUUUCACAAUGGAUGGGGAAUCAGCAAUAAAUGAGUCACGUUAAGUAUCUUUGCUCUCCUGAUGAUAUGAUUAUCCAAGGGUUUCAGAGAUACUGGGACUCGGAAACAAAAAAGAACAGUGAAGAUCUAAUAUCCGAAUUGUAUUACAAAAUCCCAAAUCGACCUCUCCUUUCGGUUUAAAUUAUAUGAUUAUCGAAGGGUUUCAGAGACACUUGGACUGGGAAACAACAAAGAACAAAUGAAGAACUAAAACCCAAAUUGUAUUACAAAAACCGAAAUCGACACUUUUACACGUCCUGUUGUCUCACAAAUGAUAACGUACAUUACUCCCACACGAUGUUUUUAUUUAUUCGAUUGAAAAAUGAAAUCAAGCCAAGGCUUGUCCAUGCAGACUCCCCAGAACAGCAUGCCAAAGUGCUCAGCACCAGCUCAAAGCGCCAAAUCCCCGAAAGGAGGACAUCAGAGGCAAAGACGUUUCCCAAUUCCCGCACAAUGUGAUGAUCUCCACACCAAAAACAAUCAGAGCAAAAAUAAGAGGCUCACUGCUCGUGUUCAUGUUCAAAUCUUGCAUCCACUGUUUGAAUCCAAAUGGGAUUCUUUUAUCUGCAAAAAUCACUUGCUCCAUAGAACUGCCGCCCUGGAAAAGCACCAAAUUGUGCGUUUCUAUUACUGUCUAUUGAAUUCGUAUUCCACUGUGUACUCUCCAAGGAGCAGGAAUCAUCAGCAACUGGGUAUCCGCAGAACCACGAGGACUGCUCAAAUUCUUGUGCCAUUUCCAUGAACAUUGUUUGCAGCUCCUCCAUGCUGUAGCUUUUGUCCUGUGUUCGAAGCAGAAGAAGAAUUAGUAGCCAGCCAACAAUCCAAAUAUUCAGGAAUCCAUCAAUUCCCUCAAAAACCAAACUUGGAAAAAAAAAAAGGGGGGGAAAAUCUUAACACGAUUGAAACAGGAAGCAGAAAGUGCUCAAACUUCAAUACUAGUUAACCGAUUUAGAUUUUCUUGUUCACCUACAGCUGAUUAAAUGAAGUAAAUUUCUUCUAGCUUCUGACUUGGGAGUAAAAACAAAUUGUCACGAAGGUUGCGUGCAUACCUCUUUCCUGGCUUCAGCCAUUAGAGACAGCAUUUCUUGCACAAAAUCUGAGAAUCCCUGAAAUAAACACAAUAAAUUACAGAAUUGUUAGUUAAAUGUUAAAUAAAUUAAAUGUUACAUAAGCAGAGUAGAUAAUAAUAUAAUUUCCAAAGCACCCACCUCUUCCUCUUCUUCUUCAGGGUCAUAUAACCCUGCAUCAUAUAGUGUCCUCUUCCUCUCAUCUGACAAAACUAUAUUCCCACAAAAGAAAGGAAGUAAGUUACAUUUUACAUUUACAAUUACAUCCUCAGGUUAAAGAUAAAACAGAACUGCAAUGCACAAUUGGACGCAAAGGCUAUCACAAGAUCAAAUCGUCAUAACUGCAAAUGACACUUACCAGAAUAGGCUUCUUGAAUUUCCUGGAAUUUAACCUUGGCUUUACCCAACAAAGAUGGAGUCUUUGUCCACCGAUCAGGAUGCCAUUGCUAUACAAACACAGACACAAUCCACAUACAGUCAGAAUUAGUUUCAUUUAUGCAACUCUUCAUUAUUCACCAUUAAUUAUUCAACUUCUUUCAAAGACAUAUACAAAUUGCCUCUGCUGAAUGUUUACUUACCAUAGCAAGCUUGCGAUAAGCGCGCCUUAUUUCUUCAACAGAAGAGUGCACACUCACACCCAGAACGCUGUAAUAAGAUGGCUGCACUUUCCUUUCACUCUCUGCCUCCAUCUUUCAUAAUUUGUGUUCAGCUUCAAACAUCAAAAGCAUGUCGGUUAUGAAUGCUACUCGCGGCUCAAAAGCUUCGUAUAUAUAUUUGGUGUUCGUUAUGGCGGUUUGGUUUGGAGAAGCAAAAUAUCUGCUUCUAUUGGUGGCUUCGAUGACUUAUCCGGAAUGUUCCAGACCUAUUUUCUUGUCUUAGCGUGUUAGUGCAAGAGACAUUUCGUGGGUUCCCAGGAUAGAUAUUUUGCUUGGAGGCUUCUCGGGACUUGCGAAGAUAAGUGAAACGUGGGGACGGGAGGCUUCUUUUCUGGAAAUGGACGGUGAUGCUGAGGUGGGCUUUAUUUUCUGAUGGGAUCAGAAGGGUGACACGUGUGAUAUUGUUGCUUUUGCAUGCACGAGGUGUCGGAUUUAUAUAUGAUUAAGCUGUUUAAUUCCUUUUGUUGAUCAAAUGAAAGAUUCUUAAGCUGCGUUUACUUUUUGGAUUGGAGUGAGAAUCCUGAGAAGUAGGAAUCCUUGGAUUAGGAGUGUGGAGUGGGAGUGGGAGUAGGGUGUUUACUUAGACUAAAUGAAAGUAUGGAUUGUCAAUCAAAAUCUUAAUUAUUUGUUUACUUUGUCUUGGAUUGGGAGUAAAUUAUUUUAAAUUACAAUUUUAUCCUUAUGUACAUAAUUAUAAUUUGUAAUUAAAAAAUAAUAAAAAAAUAUAUUUGGAAAAUAAAAUAAAUAUUUUAUUAUAUUUAUAAAUUAAUAAUAAUUACUAAUAUUCUUAAUUAUGUAAAUCAUAAUUUUUUAUUAAUUUUAAUUUAAAUUAUGUGAAUAAAAAUUAUUAAUAAUAGCAACACAAAUGAAAUAUUAUUAUUGAUAAUAUAGUACAAAAUUAAUAUUUUUUUAGAAUAAAAUAUUUAUUAAAAUUAAUUUUUAAUAUUAUUAAUUUAAAUAUAAUAUUUAUUUAUUUUUAUUUUAUUAAAUUUAAUAAAAUAAAUAUGAUAUAAUUAUUAUUUUUAAUAAAUAUGAUAUUAUUUAUUUAAUAAAUAUGAUAUUAUUUAUUUAUUAAAUAUUAUUUAUUUAUUUUAUUAAAUAUUAUUUAUUUAUUUUAAUUUUAAUUAUAAGGAUAAAAUGGGAAGAGGGGGGAGUGGAUUCCCACUCCCACCUCCCCCAAUGGGAGUGGGAAUCCCACUCCCCACUCCAAAAUUGAGUGGGACCCAUGGAUUCCCACUCCCACUCCCCCCUUUUUUAAGGUAAGUAAACACUGGAGUGAGAGGAAUCCACACUCCACACUCCCACUCCAACAAGUAAACACUACCUUAAUGCACGUGAAGUUAAAACAUUUUUUUUAAAUACUAAUAUUGGUUAAUAUUAAAUUACAUAUAUGUAAUUUAAGGAGAUCCAUUAAUAUAUUACAAUAAGGUAAUUUUUAUCUUACAUACAUAUAAGAUAUAUCUCUUUUAUAUAAAUAAUAUAUAUGUGAGGUCCAUAUAUUAUUUAUAUGAGGAAAAUAUAUUUUACAUACAUAUAAUAUAACUUAUAAAGGAAUCCUUACAAUAAUAGAUAUUUGGCUUGGAGGCUUCUCGGGACUUGCGAAGAUAGGUGCAAUGUGGGGACGGGAGGCUUCUUUUGUGGAAAUGGACGGUGAUGCUGAGGUGGGCUUUAUUUUCUGAUGGGAUCAGAAGGUGACACGUGUGAUAUUGUUGCUUUUGCAUGCGCGAGGUGUCGGAUUUAUAUAUGAUUAAGCUGUUUAAUUCCUUUUGUUGAUCAAAUGAAAGAUUCUUAAUGCACGUGAAAUUAAAACAUUUUUUUUAAAUACUAAUAUAUUACGAUAAGAACUAUAUCGAUAUUUACAAUCAAAUAAUAAUUGAGACUCUUUUUCGUAAUUUUAGUAUGGCAUAACCUAAACAACAACCCUCAUUUAAUAUUAAAGAGAAAUAUAUUUUAUCUCUAAAGCGGGGAGCCAAAUAAAUCCCAUUAGAAAGGGAGGGAUUUGAACUCAUGUGCCCAAGAUUAUUGGGUGCAUGAUUUACCAAUGGAUUACGAGCCAUUUACAAGUAAGAAAAUAAUAACACUUAUCAAGAAGAAUAGUUUGGUAAUAAAUUAUUGGGUGAGACUAUUUUUAUUUACAUAGUGCGAUCAUUACAUAAUCGUUCAUGCAUGUUGUUAUUGAUUUAAGCCACCGUGGGAAUUUAAGAUUGUAGUAGUUAAUAAAAUAAGUUAUUUUUAAUGUACAAAUGAAAUAAAUUAUUAAUUAAAAAAAGUAGUUUUGUAUUUGAUAAAUUAUAUUAUUCUAGCUGUUGGGAGUUUAAGAAAAUGAAAUACAUGUAUUAUAAAGUAUUAUUUUAUUAUAUAAUGAUAAAAAUAGACCAAGUUUAAAUUAUCUUUAUUUAUACAUUAAGAUUUAUAGAAGAAUAAGAUAUAGUUGACAUUCUAUUAAAAUAUUAAGAUUAUAAUAUGAAUUUAAAAAAUUGUAGCACCUUAUUUAAUAAAUUAGCUUAGAAGUUGAUGUAAAUAAUAAAUAAUAAUAAUAUAAACAGCUUAUAAUCUUACAAGCUCAAUUACAAAUGCCUCUUAAUAUAGGCAUCCCCUAUUAAUUGAAAAUUUUGCAGAGUAUGAUUUUGAUCGUGGUGCCAGCUUAUCUUGUUGAAUUGAUGAAAUUAUCUUAUCAUAAAUAUGCCACAGGGCGAUUUACACAGAUGAGAAUUUUGUAUUUACCACGCCAACUAUGAUACAAACUAAAUUUACCAUUCUAAUAAUAUGUAGAUCAGUUGGUGAAUGUAUAAAUAUUGUGUCAAUAUCCCUUUUUUUAAUGGGAAUGCUUGAGUAAGUUAAAAGAUUCCUCCUGGUUCUAUAACUCUAUGGAAACAGCAAAAUUAUUACUUUGUGCUAUAAUUAUGUGACUAUACAACGUAACAUUUGGGCUGUCAGUGGACUGCGAUUAAAAUUCACUUGUUCUGUUGAAGAAAAGUUCGCAUUGCGAUAAUAAAAAUAGUAUGUGAAUUUGAUUAAAAUAAUUAUAAUUUUCAGAAAAAAUCAAAAGACGUUAUUUAAAAAAAAAAAUUAUUAAAUAAGAAAAAUAUUGUGAUUCUACGUAAGCAAUUAACAAUAGCAUCAUCCCAAAAUAAUCUAACAAUAAUAAUAACAACACUAGCAACGAAAUUUAAGAGUUUUUGGCCAAAGCAGCGAGGUUAUUAAAAAUUUCAUUCUCGCAUUCGAAGCCAAACCCAACCCCUUUGACAAGAAAUCUCUAUUUGUUUUUUUUUUUUUUUGUUUUUCUUGUCAAAGGGGGUUUAGUUUGGGCUUAAUUAAAAAAAAAAUUAACCACUCGGGCUUCUUAAAUCGGCUAUGCGUCGUUCAAGCUCGUAGAUAACUUCGAUCAUGGCUUUCAUCAAUUCAGAAUCCACCAAAUCCCUUGCGUUGAGUCUGUUUUUGUUCCUGAUACUCGCCGGCCCAACGCCGUCAUUCGCCCGAACCCCACACGUCGUCAAUUUCCGCUCACUGAAUCUCUACCCAGAGGGUCUGACGUGGGACCCGUCAGCCCAGCACUUCAUCGUCGGCUCUCAGCACCAUCGCACAAUCCACUCCGUCUCCGAUGCCGCCGUCGUCGAAACCCUUAUCUCCGACCCAACUCUUCCCCAAAACGCCACCAUUUUGGGCCUCGCCAUUGACUCAAUCCACAACCGCCUCCUCGCCCUCGUUCACUCUGCCGCGCCCCUUCCUCCCUUCAAUGCCCUCGCCGCAUACGACCUCCGAUCGCGCCGCCGCGUCUUCCUGUCUCUACUCGACGACGAAACCCCUGGCGUCAUAACCAUCAAGCGCCACGUGGCGAACGACGUGGCUGUGGAUUUCAAUGGGAACGCUUACGUCACGAACUCCGCCGGAAACUUCAUCUGGAAGGUGGACAAAGACGGCGAGGCCUCGGUCUUCUCGAGAUCUCCUGUUUUCAGCGAGAGUCCCUUGGCGGUUGACCCCGACGCGCCGUUUAGCGAGUGUGGAUUAAACGGGGUAGCUUACGUGAGCAAGGGGUAUUUGCUCGUGGUGCAAUCCAAUACGGGCAAGAUGUUUAAGGUCAACGCGGAUGACGGGUUGGCCAGGCGGGUUUUGUUGACCGAGGAUUUGGUUUGGGCCGACGGUAUAGCCGUUAGAAGCGACGGCGUCGUUUUGGUGGUGUCUCAUCACACGUUGUGGUUUAUUAAGUCUCACGAUAGUUGGGCCGAGGGAGUAGUGUAUGACAAAACUGCCCUUAAUCAGGAAAAGUUUGCUACAUCGGUGACGGUGGGAGGGGAGGAUAGGGCGUAUGUGUUAUAUGGGCGUGUGAUGGAGGGUCUUUUGGGGAAUUCGGGAAGAGAGGAGUUUAGUAUAGAGGAAGUGAGAUCAAAGAAAGAGAAUGAGGAGGAGAAUGUUUGGGUGUUCGUUUUGCUCGGAUUGGGUUUGGCUUAUUUCUUGUUUUGGAGGUUCCAAAUGAGCAAACUUGUAAGAGAUAUCAAUAAAAAGACUAAUUGAGCUUUUGUUUUGCAUGUAAAAGACUUUUUGCUUUUGGCAUUGAGACUUUUAGGCGGGUUUGUCAUAUAAUUGUCAGUUAUUUGUAAUAUUAUGAUUUUGAUUGCUUUGGAGAGAAAGCUUUUGUUGUCUUUUUAUUCAAUGGUUUCCGUAGUCACACUUGCUCGUUAUCAACUAAUGGAUACCGUGAAGACACCGAUCCAUUGAGAUUGAUUCUAUAACACUUGAUGAUGAAGAAACCGGGUGAAUACUUUACAAAUACGGUCAACACUGUGUUUUGACCAGAGAUGAAGACACAAGGAAAACGCUUUUAAGAAAAAUGGUGGAAUCAAUCGUGAGGUUAGUCGAUAAGGUCUACGUAAUGAUCAAUUCCUGAAAGCCAAACCAAAAUUCUAGUGAGUAGUGAUAGAGUAGGGACAAAUAUGAAAUGUUAACAGUAGUAGCUUAAAAACUGAACUGGAGACAGUGGCCUUGAUGUCGGGGUUUUGGCGGUUUGCAAAACUAGAAUGCUGAUCCAAAAAUUCUGUCACAGCCUCAUAGCGAGCAUUUGGAUAAAGUCUAUAGUCAACAAUGAAAAAUCAUUCAAACUUCAAAACAUUAAAAGGGAGAAUUUGAUGAAAUGGCGAACUGUUUUCCCACUAGGGAAGGAUUGUUUCCACCACAGGACCAACUGAGCCUUGUUUAGGAUUCAUGGGAGGUGGUAGUGCUGGGGUCGUUAUCCUGUUCUCUGUCUUUGGCUUUGAUACCCCAGCUUCCUCCCUAAGCUUCUCAAGUUUCUCCAUGAUUUUUUUCUUCCUCUCAAGUUUCCCAACGCGGGCCUCGGCAGGUUCUGCUGAGAAAAAAGAGAGUGCACUCACAACUUCAGCCGUCAUAUAUAGCAUUGCAUCUCUUCGGGGAAUAGAAAUGCGUUUUUGUGCUUGUAAAUUCUGCUCUUGCUUCCUUCUCACCUGCCAGCAGCAAAAGGAAAUGGUGUUCUUUAAGACUGCAGUCCGGUAAAAGGAAAUGUAUAAUUAUUUUCUUUUUUUCCCUAAUCUUUUCAGAUUUCACAUCAAAUUUUAAAAUUUCAAAGCUCGAUGCCCAUAUACUAAAACUUAACCAGCAAAAGACAAUAUUUGAAAAUUUUUGGUAGAGCCUAAGCUGAACUUGCAAAAAAGUACAGAGUUUGAUUUAUAGAAAUCACUAAUAUUUCCAGAGAAGGCAUUGGUCUGCUAGUACGACAAGUCUGCUGCAGGAUCAGACAUUAAUUCCAGUAAAGUCAGAAAAUUGGGCUAUUCCAUACUGUUCUUCUCAUAAAUAACUGUUAAAUUUCAACAUUUGACAUGUAUAAAUGAACCCAAUGCACAAUUGAAUUUCCACGGUGCAUGAUGCAAAUCUAUAUUUGAAAAUAUUUACAUCCUCUACCACAACUAGCUAAUGGACUAGUCUUUACAUACAUUCUAACUUGCCAAUUAACAAAGUUUAAGUUAAGAUCAACUCUCCGGAAACUAGUACGGAGGGACUCUGUAAAGCAAGACAAACUUGCAAAAAAUCAAAAUGGGUGUUGUUGUACUAUUGUUUCCCAAGCCAAGAACAAUAGUCAAAAUUGGAACACAAUUCAGACUUUGGAGUUUUUGGAGAUAACUCACAUAAACAGCAAAGUGUGUAUAGAGUUUUAAACUAGGUUCUAGUAGUACUACACAGAAAAUGUUUCCAGAAACACCGCAAUCAAGUGCAUUUCUCGAUCCCUUCUGUUUCCCAUGUUUCCGAUGACAACAAAUCCAUAACCCCAAGAGGCUCAAAGCCUCAAACACAAAAUGCUUUUGUCAGUUAACAUAAAUAACUUGCUAUGAAAUCCGAUUACAGCCAAACUAAAAAUAAAACUAAAUUAAAUCUGACUGUUCAAUUAGUGUUUAACCAAAUUAGUAAAGCUGUUGAAGCUUAAGCUUUACGAAGAUGACAAGGUUGAAAUCUUUUAAAAAUUUAACAUUUUAAUUACUUCAAUCACUGGGCAUUCAAGAUUAGAAUAGUGGGUUGAGCUUAUAUUUCCGAGGCAACACACAGAAACUCAUUACAAAGCUAAAAAAUUUCCAACUUUGAACCUGAAGAGCAACAGCUCGUGUCCUUGUUGACAACAUUUCCGGCCCUUUAGCAAGUAACUCCAUUUCACCAGAUACGGGGGGAAGUGGGACCGCCAUCAGCUUCGAAUGAGCGUAUGCCAUCUAUCUCCGUGAAUAAUUCCUAGUUAGAUCACCGUCACCGAGCUCAAUUUAGCAGUUAGCACACUCCGGAGCCGAUGAAGAGCAAGAAUGUUCUCCUUCUCAUCAUUUUUAUCUUAUUUUUUUUUCUUUUGGGUUUAAACUCCACAUGGACUGGAGAGGGUGGGCUAAUCUGGGCCAGGCCAAGUUGAUGUUUUUCAAUGGGUUUUACUGUUCGCACCCCCCUAAUAACAAAUCCUUUUUCUAAUCUCUUAUGUUUUGGUUGGGCUGUUUGUUAUUUUUUAACACCCUUCAUUAUUCUCGUAAAACUCCCCGAUUCCAUAAAACUCCAUAUUCUAUUAUGAAUACAAUUAAAGACAAUACAAAUAAAAAUAACCUAUAAAUAUGUACUCCCAAUUCGAUAGAUGUAUAAAUAUCGUGUGAUUCGCAAAAAUUGGAUAAUUUCAAAUUUUUUAUUACAAUUUCUUCUUUUGAGUAAAUAAUAAAGAAAUUAAUUAAUCUAUUUAACUCAAUUUCCUAUAAUAUGGGCUGGUAUCCCAUUGUUGAACCCAUUUGAGAGCGUGGGUAGGAGGAGUCCCAAUAGCGAUAAGACUUCAUUCCUCCUCCAGCCUUAAAAAUUGAAUGAAGAUAGAUUUUUCUCUCACUAAUGUGGGUAGAGUAGAUUUUUCUCUAAAAUUUAUGAAGAUAGAGAUUUGAACUGUGCUAGAUUUUAUUGAUCGAUGUACACGGCUAUUAGGUUGGUGGUUAUAUAAAGAACCCAAAGAAUAUACUAUAAAUUAAACACUUUAAUUAUUAAGAGUGUCUUGGAGAUUUUUUAUGUAUAAUAUGGCCAUGCCUUUACACAGGCAAUCAAAAACCAAUUACAUGUUUAAAUUUUAACAAAUAACUUCCACUAACCUUUUGGAAGUUAUGUAUUCAAAUCUAAACAUGUAAGAAUGUGUCUCUUGUAAGAGACACACCUAUCAACUUUAUGAUAUAUUAUAUAAGCCAUGAUUUCUACAUAUUACCAUUUGUUCACAUAUAUAUUAAUAGACUGCACUUUAAUAAAUUUGAUCUAAGUUAUCCCAAUAAAUUUUUAUUGCAAAUAUCAAUAAAUUGUACAUAUAUGUGUGUGUGAAUAAAAUUCUAUAACAUAGAAGUUCAUCUGACUGACACCUAAAAAGUUAUAUAAGGUUACCAUCUUGAAAAUAGUCCAAUAAAACUCAAGUAGCAACCCUAGCUAAGAAGCAUUAUAUUUAUACCAUGAUCAAAACAGAGCCACAAGCUCCCAGGCUACCAUAAAGAAGAGUAGAACAUGAUAUUAAUUAGCCACUUAUUAGGAAGAUGAUGAAGAUUGGACCAAAAAAUUAUUUACCAUUUUAUGGCAAAUUAUUUACAUAGUUAUAUAAGUAGUUCAAGGUUUCAAUGAUCUUAAUUCAUUAACUAUAAUUUGAAUACAAUUAAUUUGUUAUCACUAUCUGCCACAUCUUGCAACUUAGAAAUGGACAAUUUAAGGGUGUAUGCUUGUAGCUUGGAGUAAAUGCCAUAUUAUAAUAUAGUAACGCGUGAUAUAUCAAUUUACCGUGAGGUAAAAUGGACAAUUCUCGAAGACAAAGAUAAUGAAGUCAGUAUUAAUAAUUAACAAAAUGUCCUUUGCUAAGGACAUGCGCUCGAUGAAUAGUUUAUAAUAUUUUUCUUGGUUAAGCCGUUAAAAUAGCAUUUGCUGUAGGUGCAUGUGAUACACAAAACUUGUAAAUAAGCAGAACUUGUGAAGCUUUCAAUUCAUAAUGCAAAAAAAUUACAGUGAAACAUUCCAUUCAAUUAAUAUAUUGUUCAUUUUGCUUCGAGUAGUUUCUUUUCUUUCAAUGUAUUCUCAUCUGUUAAUUCCGUUAGAUGAGAAAUUAGUAUGCUUGAACCUCUGUACAGAGUAAUUCAAAGCUUUGUCAACCAAACAAUUACACCCAACCUUAAAGUCUAAAGGGGAAUUUACCCCAAGUAUAGAUGAAUGGAUGAUAGACUUUAGUUCAGUCCUUUUUUUAGCACUACUUCCUCAAAAAGCACCUACACAUUUAACCUAACUCAUGAAUCAAAAUUUAUUAUUGAUGCAAAUUUUUGUUCAAUGAAUAGUAAUCCAUUUUUAUUUCAAAAUUUCUGAUUACGUGUUUUUUUUUUUGAUAAAUUAUUUAACAAAAAAAUGGUCAAAGGGUGCCAGAGUUAUUGGCGGUAACCCUUUGACACUUAAAUUAUCCUUUAGUAAAUUAUCAUUUAGUACUCAAUUUAUACAAAGAGAGAGAGAGAGAGUUUAGAGGGAAAUAGACAACAUUUUUGUACUUUUUUUUAAACCUUUAGAGUAUGAUGUCCUUGCAUUUGUUUAGGUAUCUUGAAGCAUGAGGUGGAGGAGUUAUCAUGACAUAUGACAUUAUUAUCAUGACAAUGGUCCACAAGAUCCAUGCAUAAUGACAUCUAUCAACAUGUGUCAAGUCUUAUUCAUGACAAAUCUUCAUAGUCACUUGUGCUGAUUUUUUUGGCACUUGAGCUUGACUUUGUCUCUUAUACUGGUUACUUAUUAAGAGAAUUGGAUUUGCGACAUAUCUCCCAUAAGUGAAUUUUUGUAAAGUCUUUUCUCAUAGGUAUCUAGAAUAUUUUAUAAGUAAUUGGCUCUAGUUGAUUUUUAUAGAGAAUGGCCCUAGAACAUUUUUAACAAGAUUUUCCCAUAAACAGCUUCUUUAGAAUGUUUGCCCAUAAACAAUUCACAUAAAGUGUUUGCCUAUUGACACAUUCAAAUGUGUAGAAUAUAUGUUCACCCGUAGGCUCAACCCGUAGAAUUUGUAUUUGCCCGUUGGCUCAUUCUGUAAAAUGUUUGUUUGCCCAUAGACUUAUCCUAUAGAAUGUUUACUUGCCUAAAGGCCCAUUUCGUAUAAUAAUUAUUUGCCCAUAAUCUCAUUCGGUACAAUGUUUGUCUGUCUAUAAGCACAUUCUUUAGAAUGUUUAUUUGCCCGUAGGCUCAUUCUAAUGUAUGUUUGCCUUGUAGGCUCGUAGAAUGUUCAUUUGCUUGUAGCUCUAUUCUGUAGAGUGAUCAUUUGCCUAUAGGCGCAUUCCAUAAAAUAUUUGUUUGCUUAUAGGCUCAUUCUGUAGAAUUUUUUUUUGUAAUUCCUAGGCUAUUUUUAUAGAAAAUAGAUAUAGGUUAUUUUUUAUAUUAUUAUACCUUGGUAUUUUGUCAAAGACUCGCUCUUUGGGCAUUUCACUUAAAAGUGUUUUCUAAGUAUUUAGAUCAUUCUUUAUAAAGAAUGAAGCUAGGACAUUUUUUGUAUGAUUAUUCUUUGACACUUUGCCAAAUACUUGCCCUUUGGGCAUUUUACUAAGAUUAUUUUCUAAGUACCUAAGUAUUUUUGUUAAUAAAUAGACUUAUAUCAUUCUUUGAAGAAUUACGCUUUUGGCGCUUUGUCAAAGAUACACUCUUUUGGCAUUUUACUUAAAAAUAUUUUCUUAACAUCUAAGUCAUUCUUUGUAAAGAUUAGACUUAAUAAAGAAUGGAUCUAGGUCAUUCUUUAUAGAAUUAUGAUUUUGGCAUUUUGUUGAGUGCUUGCACCUUGGACAUUUUACAUAGAAGUAUUUUUUAAGUGCCUAGGUUAUUUUUUUGUUAAAGAAUGACUUAAGUUUAUAGGUGAUUGACGCUAAAAAGUGUACAUUUAGUAAGGAUAAAAUUAUCAGUUUUUCACUUGCAGUGUUAAUUAAUACACUCAUUGUUCGUAAAUUAUCUUAACACUCCCCAAAUAUAUUUAUGUUAAAUUAAUUUGUAACACGUUAAUAUUAAUUUGCAGAUAAAUUUCAAGAAUAAAGAGGGAUCAGAGCUGAAAGCAGAAGAUAAAGAAGUUUGAUUGUAUUAAUAUAAAGCCAAAAAAAUAAAAAUAAAAUUGAAAAGUGUGCCUGAGCCACUUAUCAGGAUGGGCAAGUGGCUGCCACUAUCCACUUGCUUAUCCCUUUAAUUAUUAAAAGUAAUAAUAUAAUAAUAAAUUAAAUAAGAAUAAAAGGAAUGAAGGUGGCUGGGAGCCGGGAGAGAACAAAGUGAAGUUGAGGAAUUUCUUUCUUUUUUUUUCUUUUCUUGUUUUCUAGUGUAAUCAAUUUUAUUGUAAUAUAUUUCAAAAGUUUGUCAAAUAAAAAUAGUGUUUUAUUUUCUUUCAAUAUGAGUGACUAAUUUUACUAAGCUGAGGUGAAGGGUGAAGCUCAAGGCUUUCAAAUUAUUAAAUUAAUUACUUUCUCAAGUGAGUUUUAAGUUUAUUUUAUUCUUUUCUAGUUAUUUUUAUGUCAUGUUAAUUUAUAGAUUUCCUUGAAUUUGUAUGGUAUUUUGACAUAAUAUCGACACAUUAAUAUAGUUGUGGCACAUUAAGUACUUGAUGUCAUAUUUAUCCACACACAUAGUUAGCUCAGAAUUAAAUAAUAUAAUAAUUAAUUGGUAAAAGUGAGGCAAAAUAUAAAAAUGAGAGAGUAUUAAAAUUAUAGUUUGAAUACUGAGAGUGGAUUCCGUAACCUUAGCAUAAUUUUAAAUUGAUUCAUAGUAAUUUCUUUUUCCGUAAUUAAUUUUCUUUAUUUAACAAAUUGACUACUAGAUUUUAAUUUCAUGUGGUUCAACCCCGGACUCAUCGGGUUGUGUUAUAACUAGACACUCUUAUACUUGGGAAUAAUAACAUUUUUGAGUUGUGUCAAUGGGCAGAUCUAGUUAAGGCCCAAGAGGAGUUUCAACCCUUCUACACUAUUAUUUUUUUCCUUUUAAAUGUACCCUAAGUCCCUUUUAAAAGAGUUAAACAAAAAGAGUUUGAAUAUAUCUUUUACAUGAUAAAAUACUUGUAGUUUAGUAGUAGAGUAUUAUUUGGUAGUUUUGGAGACUUGCGUUGAAAACUCAAUAGUCAUAUAAUUUUGAUUUUUUAGAUAUUUGGUGGA